GAUGAACGCUGGCGGCGUGCCUAAUACAUGCAAGUCGAGCGAACAGACGAGGAGCUUGCUCCUCUGACGUUAGCGGCGGACGGGUGAGUAACACGUGGAUAACCUACCUAUAAGACUGGGAUAACUUCGGGAAACCGGAGCUAAUACCGGAUAUUAUAUUGAACCGCAUGGUUAAUUAGUGAAAGACGGUUUUGCUGUCACUUAUAGAUGGAUCCGCGCCGCAUUAGCUAGUUGGUAAGGUAACGGCUUACCAAGGCAACGAUGCGUAGCCGACCUGAGAGGGUGAUCGGCCACACUGGAACUGAGACACGGUCCAGACUCCUACGGGAGGCAGCAGUAGGGAAUCUUCCGCAAAGGGCGAAAGCCUGACGGAGCAACGCCGCGUGAGUGAUGAAGGUCUUCGGAUCGUAAAACUCUGUUAUUAGGGAAGAACAAAUGUGUAAGUAACUAUGCACGUCUUGACGGUACCUAAUCAGAAAGCCACGGCUAACUACGUG
rnacentral:rRNA from 1 species